AUGAAGGACAGCUGUCAGUCAUCCAGAGUUCAAUCAGAGGUUUUUGUACGACGGUUUCAUCACUUUGUAUCACUGUGGUACCCGUUCGGUGGAGGAACCAGACUGGAAGUUAACUUGGGCCGAGUCCGUCCCUCCCUGACAGUCCUGUCCAGUGGGGAGCUGCAGCAGGGGACGGCCACACUCAUGUGUCUGGCCAACAAGGGCUUCCCCUCAGACUGGAGUCUGUCCUGGAAGGUGGACGGCAGCAGCAGCAGCAGCAGCUGGGAGGAGAGCAGGAGCCCCGGGGUGCUGCAGGAGGACGGCCACUACAGCUGGAGCAGCACCCUGAGACUCCCUGCAGACCAGUGGACCAAGGCGCUCUCUGUGACCUGUGAGGCCACCCAGGGCUCCCAGACUCCAGUCUCAGAGACCCUGAGGAGAGACCAGUGCUCCCAGUCCUGACCUGACUCCCUGGGACUCUCAACCUGCUUUUACUCUUCUACUUCUCUCUCU